rnacentral:rRNA from 1 species
AUUGAACGCUGGCGGCAGGCCUAACACAUGCAAGUCGAGCGAGCGGCGGAAGGGUGAGCUAUGUAUGGGAAACUGCCUGAUGGAGGGGGCUAACUACUGGAAACGGUAGAUAAUAACGCAUAACAUCAGAUGUGCCCCGAUGGGAUUAGCUAGUAGUUGGGGUAAUGGCACACGUAGGCGUCGAUCCCUAGCAGGGCUGCGAGGAUGACCAGCCACACUGGAACUGAGACACAGUCCAGACUCCUACAGGAGGCAGCAGUUGGGAAUAUUGCACAAUGGGCGCAAGCCUGAUGCAGCCAUGCCGCGUGUGUGAAGAAUGCCUUCGGAUUGUAAAGCACUUUCAGCGAGGAGGCGUUACUCGCAGAAGAAGCACCGGCUAACUCCGUGCCAGCAGCCGCGGUAAUAC